rnacentral:rRNA from 1 species
AGUGAUUUGUCUGGUUAAUUCCGAUAACGAACGAGACCUUUACCAUACUAAAUAGUUUGAUUUAUUCAUUUUGAAUAGAUUUAUUUAAACUUCUUAGAGGGACUAUUGGUUCUUAAACCAAAGGAAGUAAAGGCGAUAACAGGUCUGUGAUGCCCUUAGAUGUUCUGGGCUGCACGCGCGCUACAAUGAUAAGCUCAACGAGUAUUUAAAAUUUAUUUUAUCGCUUUAUCGGAAGAUAUGGCUAAUCUUAAACGCUUAUCGUGCUUGGGAUAGAUGAUUGCAAUUAUUUAUCUUGAACCAGGAAUUCCUAGUAAUCGUAUAUCAUCAGUAUGCGAUGAUUACGUCCCUGCCCCUUGUACACACCGCCCGUCGCUGCUACCGAUUGGAUGAUCCGGUGAAAUCCUCGGAUAGCGAAGAAUCUUCUAACUCGCAAGAGUUGGAAAUCAUUGCUAGAAGUUGAUAAACCUAUCAUCUAGAGAAGCAAAAGUCGAGCAUACCAC